UACAGAGGUCUCAAGCGUUUUUCGGAUUCACUGGGCGUAAAGGGUGCGUAGGCGGUCGGCUAAGUCACGUGUGAAAUCUCGGAGCCCAACUCCGAAACUGCAUAUGAUACUGGUCGGCUGGAGGACCGGAGAGGAGACUGGAAUUCACGGUGUAGCAGUGAAAUGCGUAGAUAUCGUGAAGAACGCCAGUGGCGAAAGCGGGUCUCUGGACGGUACCUGACGCUGAGGCACGAAGGCCAGGGGAGCAAACGGG
rnacentral:rRNA from 1 species